CGCCCCUUGUGCGGCCACCGGGAGGGUUGGGAGCCCAGAGCUCGCGGGACCGCUCUCGCUCAGUCUCCUCCAGCACAGCGUCGCAAACCCCGCCGGAAAGCGUGACGGCGCAGGCGCAGGCGCGGAGACCCGAGACGGUGGUGGUGGCUGCCGCUGGCCAGUUUCUUCAGCGAACCUCCAGACCAGUUUUCUCAGGAUCUUGGGCCUGACUUCGGUCGGCGAUAAAAGCAGGAAGGCUGGCGACCAUAUUUAAGAUGUCCAAUAAACGUCCCAACACGACAGAUGGGAGAACAGAUUUAGCUAAUGGAAGUCUGUCCAGCAGCCCAGAGGAGAUGUCUGGAGCUGAAGAGGGGAGGGAAACAUCCUCAGGGAUUGAAGUAGAGGCAUCAGACCUGAGUCUCAGCUUGACUGGGGAUGACGGUGGCCCCAACCGCACCAGCACGGAAAGUCGUGGCACAGACACAGAGAGCUCAGGGGAAGAAAAGGACUCUGACAGCAUGGAGGACACGGGCCAUUAUUCCAUCAAUGAUGAAAGCCGAGGUCAUGGCCACUCAGACGAAGAGGACGAGGAACAACCUCGGCACCGUGGACAGCGCAAACGGGCCAGCCGUGACCAGGAUUCAUCAGAUGAUGAGCGAGCCCUGGAAGACUGGGUAUCUUCAGAGACAACAGCCUUACCCCGACCUCGCUGGCAAGCCCUUCCUGCGCUUCGGGAGCGGGAACUGGGUUCCAGUGCCCGCUUUGUGUACGAGGCUUGUGGAGCUAGAGUCUUUGUACAGCGUUUCCGUUUGCAGCACGGGCUUGAGGGCCAUACUGGUUGUGUCAAUACCUUGCACUUUAACCAGCGUGGUACCUGGCUGGCCAGUGGCAGUGAUGACCUGAAGGUGGUGGUGUGGGAUUGGGUGCGGCGGCAGCCAGUACUGGACUUUGAGAGUGGCCACAAAAGUAAUGUCUUCCAGGCCAAGUUCCUUCCUAACAGUGGUGACUCCACCCUGGCUAUGUGUGCCCGGGAUGGACAGGUCCGAGUCGCAGAGCUGUCUGCUACACAGUGCUGCAAGAACACCAAGCGUGUGGCCCAGCACAAGGGGGCAUCUCACAAGUUAGCCCUAGAACCAGACUCCCCCUGCACGUUCCUGUCAGCUGGUGAAGAUGCCGUCGUCUUCACCAUUGACCUGAGACAAGACCGGCCAGCUUCGAAACUAGUGGUGACAAAAGAGAAGGAGAAGAAAGUGGGGCUGUAUACAAUCUAUGUGAACCCUGCCAAUACCCACCAGUUUGCAGUGGGUGGAAGAGAUCAGUAUGUAAGGAUUUAUGACCAGAGGAAAAUUGAUGAGAAUGAGAACAACGGAGUCCUGAAAAAAUUCUGUCCUCACCACUUGAGCUCCUGGCCAGUUACAAUGAUGAAGACAUUUACCUUUUCAACUCUUCUCACAGUGAUGGGGCCCAGUAUAUUAAGAGAUACAAAGGCCAUAGAAAUAAUGCUACAGUAAAAGGCGUCAAUUUCUAUGGCCCCAAGAGUGAGUUUGUGGUGAGCGGUAGUGACUGCGGGCACAUCUUCCUCUGGGAGAAGUCAUCUUGCCAGAUUAUUCAGUUCAUGGAAGGGGACAAGGGAGGUGUGGUGAGUAUGCGCUGCUGGACUGGCUGUCCCCCUAGUGUCUCAGGGCAGUAAGGCAGGUCUUAGGUAGGUCACCACAUUGUCACUGCAGCUGUAUGGUAACUUGUUUUAGAGACCCACAUAGCUACACUAAAGGGGUUAUGCCUUGAGGGUGCUGAGAUUUUGAAGGAACAUUUUAUUCCUUCCUUCUGCCCUUUUAAAGGAUUUUAGGGGGAAUUUAUACCCUGAGCAAAAUUCUUAAGCAUGGGCUUUUUCCAAAAAAGAAAACAUGAAUUUGGGACAAACCUUCCUAUACAAUGUCAAAACAAGAUGUCUCUGUGCCUUGUCUCUUUAAGUAAGGUAAGGUGACCGUGGCUUAUUCCUGGGUCAGAGAAAAGCUAGAUGCACAUUUAUUUUUAUUUAUUUUAGAAGAAAUGUUGUAAACAUUUUGGAGAAAUAUGAGUAAAGUUUGUAAGUUAGAUGACAUGGAAUUAAAUAUUAAACUUAUUUGAUGCACUAUUUAAGAGAAUAUCCUUGGACUUAACCGAUGCGUGCUGUAUUUAGGGAUAACGUGUCAUGCCUGUUGUUAAAUGGAUACAAAUAACACCUAAUGCACCUGUGUAGAUGCAGAAAGGAAAGCAAACGUAAUAAUACAUGUUUUUCUUGGAGAAAACAGCUGAGGAGCCUGCUAGGUAAUAUUGUCACAUUAUUGUCUGCCUGGCAUCUGAGUUUUACAAGUACCCUGUUUCAACCCCCCCCCCCCAAAAAAAAAGAAUCAGGAAAAUUAAGUUAAAGCUUGAGGGGUGGUCCGCUCUUCUGAUGCAUCUCGAUUACCAUUAUCUUCCCCUUCUAGCACUAGGAAAGAGUUAAAUAGCCUUCUAGUUAAACAAGGGUUUUAGUCACUGAAGAAAGGGAAGAGACAGUUUGGAAGAUUCCUUUACUGGUUAUCCAAGAUGGCUUGCUUACCUAAAUUCUCUCAGGAAUGACGAAGUUGCUUGACCUCUCGUCCUUUGCAGUCUUCUAAGUUGGAACUUCAGGUCCAGCUCUGACUUGGUGAUGCUUACCAGAAAGUGGGUUCAAGUUGAAAGUGCUUCCUUGGCAGUCAGGAUCCCAUUUCUUCUUGUUUCCUGGUCUGCUUCUGAGGAUAUUUGAUAUUUUUUUCUGGCUUCCUUUAAAUUGUUUGGACCUAGGACAUAUAGAUUGUCUUCUGUAGCCUGAAUGUAAGAGGCUCUCUACUUCAGUUUUCAUUCCUUCAGAGGUUCCUCCUCUGUCACCUGUAGGUAACAAGUUCAAAACAUUGGAGUCUUAAUGGAAAUUCUGCAGUUCGCACAUAGUGAGUCCAGAAGGACUGGCGAUGCUAAACUGUUGUCUUGCGCUCUGCCCCAGAAGCAAAGCAUCCCGCUGGCCAGCGUGCUUCAGCUCCGUGGUUCCCAGGUUCAGAGGGCCAUGCAGUGCUCGCUCAGUGGGGAAGAGCAUCUGCUUGGGACGGUUAGGUAGGUCCUAGGCCAGAGUUCCUGUGAUUUUAAGAGAUGUAGUGAUGACCCCUGAAGAGGGUUUCUUUACUUGUUCUUGCUUUUGUGUGAGCAGAAUGACUCCUAUGAUUCUUACCUAGUUCUUGCUGAGAUCAUUUGGUUUUGGUACAACCUUGGGCUCUAGUCUAGGUGUAGAUGAUGAAGCAUUCUAUAUCAUAAAGUAGAGUGUUAGCAUCGGAGGGAUCUUAAGACAUUAUUGCGCACCUUGCCCAGGUCUCCUAAUCCUUGUUUUGGGAUCCUUUCUUUGUUCCCAUUCAUCUUCACAGGAACGAGAGUGGGAGAUGAUGCCAAAGAACAACUCCUCACUCUCCCAAGAGCACUUGGAUGCUCUAUCCCACCCCCUACACCCCUCGCCCAGUCUUCUAAGGCCAGAGUUCUUUUCUCUGUGCAAGCAUUAUUGACAGAAUAAGUGCUGGCGUUGAGACAGGUCUGGUGAAGUGACCAGGCCCCUUGGUCCCCUGGCCCAGAGGUUCUGUGUCUGCUCCUGCAGGCUCCAGUUCAGGUAAACUGUCUUGAGCCCCAUCCUCAUCUGCCUGUUUUGGCAACCAGUGGCCUAGACCAUGAUGUGAAGAUCUGGGCGCCGACAGCUGAAGCUUCCACUGAGCUGACAGGGUUAAAGGAAGUGAUCAAGAAGAACAAGCGAGAGCGGGAUGAAGACAGCUUGCACCACACUGAUCUGUUUGAUAGUCACAUGCUGUGGUUCCUUAUGCAUCACCUGAGACAGAGACGCCAUCAUCGGCGCUGGCGAGAACCUGGGGUUGGGGCCACAGAUGCAGACUCUGAUGAGUCUCCCAGCUCCUCAGACACAUCCGACGAGGAGGAGGGCCCUGACCGGGUGCAGUGCAUGCCAUCCUGAGGCCCCACACCUAGGAGGGAUGGGCUGGGGCUGCCAACCCGAUCCUGCCUGGGCAACUCUUUUUCAGUCCCAGGCCCUUACAUUCAACAGAAAUGCACUUUGGACUUUUUGUUUAAAUAAAAGAAAGAUACCUGAGGAGGACAGAGCACAGGAGACGGAACCAGCAGAGAGCCCCUAGAAGUGAGAGAUGAGAAGGAGCCUGAAUGAGCUUCCAUGGAAGGUGCAAAGGACUCAGAGAAAUGGGCCUCUCCCUGAAGCCUUUUGUCAAUGGGCUUGGAUAGGAAGUGGGGCUUCUUUUUCUUUAACCUCCCUUGUUUCUUUUGGGGGUGGGGGGUACCAAUAGGCCAGAGAGAAGGCUGGGCAUGCCACUCUCUUUGGUUUAGGGUUUCACCUUUUUUUUUUCCUUUGUUUUUUAAGAAGUCUGACAGUUGCUUUGUUUUUUGCCCGAGCAACCACGUCCCAUCCCAGGAUCCUGUUUUUCUGGGAAAUCCUUAAGAGCCCCCAGCCACCCCAGCACUCUGCUCUCCCUUCCACAACACUUACUCUCUGACCUUACCACAGUGCUCUGCACUGCUGCCCGUUGUCUCCUUCACUCACUCGUCAUCCAGCGCCCUCUAAAUGGGGGCUGGGAUGGGGACUGAGGAGACGUGGGAGGGACAAGAGACGGAAAAACAGGAAGAAGUUACCUCUUGGUUUUGGUUUUAACUGUUCAGUGGUGGCAAUUUCCCUGUCCCUAUCACUGUUAGAGGCCUACUUUUAUAUCUAUAAAUAUAUUAAAAAGCAAGUUAAACUUGGAUGUAUCAAGUUAAAAUUAUUGUCAGAAGUUUAAAUACCUAUAUAUUCUCUAUGAAUCCAAUGCAAUAAAGGGGCUGCAAGGAAGAGCAAGCGAUCGAGUGAUGCUGAAGAGGUGACGUGGGUCAGAUGAUUCAUGGCUGCUCUCAGAGCCUAGGGCUUACCUGUAGCUUUCCCAAGGCUCAAGGGUGGAAACAUAGUCAGCUGUGCCCUUCUCUGCCUCAGUACUGAGCUUUAGAAAAACAAAUUCCUCUCAACUUUGCCUCAGGUCUCCUAAUUUCUGUAAGUCUGUGGGGGCUCCCAAGAUUGCUCCUCUCAUUAGAGGCUGGCCUGUCUCUAAAACAUGACUGAAGUGUGACUUCAGGAAGGGCGUCACUGCUGCAGACUGUCUCCUGGUUCUGAGUAUAACGGAAAGCACACUCGCCCCCUCCCUUUAGUUAGCUGCUUGAUUCUUUAAGCAUCCAACUCCACACCAGCUCCCUUCCUAAUGGAAGGAUGAAGGGAGAGCUUCCUGGGAAUCAAGGGACAAGCCAGUAAUUGGAGGAUUUAUUCUGGUGCCUGGGGCUUAGAGCCCUGUCUUCAGCACUGGCCACUGAGUAUGAAAGUCCCUGUGGAAUUCUUACCCUAAAUGCUUGUGCUGCUCUUCCUGUGCCCCGGUGUUCACAAGGUCCAGUCAGGAGGCCUACACCAUGGGAUGGAAGUUGGAGAGAGAGCGGAGGGUGGUAUCCUACACACUCUUUCCUCUUGACCCCAUCCAGCAGCGCAGGCCAGAUGCCAGCUCCUGGGCUUCCUUCGUGGCAGGGAGUGUGUGGUAACUGAGUAGUAGUCUUAUGUCCUCACUGCUAGAGGGAUGAUGAGGUGGGCUUAAAACCAUGCACUCUGGAAUUUGUUGUAUUUUUUUCUCAGUAAAGCUUUUCCCCUGACUGCU